CAAUAGCGUAUAUUAAAGUUGUUGCGGUUAAAAAGCUCGUAGUUGGAUCUCGGCAGGCAGGGGGUGGUUCGCUCUUAGCGCUACUGCCCCAUUUGCCUGUGUGAUUGGCGGAGGUUUCGGGGUGCUCUUCGUUGAGUGACCCGGGGCGCCGUCAGGUUUACUUUGAAAAAAUUAGAGUGCUCAAAGCAGGCUUUUCACGCUUGAAUAUUCGUGCAUGGAAUAAUGGAAUAGGAACUCGUUUCUAUUUUGUUGGUUUUCGGAAAUCGAGUUAAUGAUUAAUAGGGACAAUUGGGGGCAUUAGUAUUCAGACGACAGAGGUGAAAUUCUUGGACCGUCUGAAGACUAACUACUGCGAAAGCACUUGCCAAGAGUGUUUUCAUUAA
rnacentral:rRNA from 1 species